rnacentral:rRNA from 1 species
AAAAACAUCGCCUUUUGACCACAAUAAAAGGUCCAGCCUGCCCAGUGAAUAUUCAACGGCCGCGGUACCCUAACCGCGCAAAGGUAGCACAAUCACUUGUUCCUUAAAUAGGGACCAGUAUCAACGGCACCACGAGGGUCACACUGUCUCCUUCCUCCAAUCAGUGAAACUGAUCUUCCCGUGAAGAAGCGGGAAUAAAACUAUAAGACGAGAAGACCCCAUGGAGCUUUAAGCCUUCGACAACUUAAUAUAAAACCCCCUCAUAAUUGUAAGUCCUGCCCAAUGGCUUUAGGUUGGGGCGACCGCGGAGUAAAAACUAACCUCCACGACGAAAUAGAACUAAAUCUUUAUCUGAGAGCCACCUCUCUAAGAACUAGUAUACUAACGCACAUGACCCGACAAUCGAUCAACGAACCAAGUUCCCCUGGGGAUAACAGCGCAAUCUACUUCAAGAGCCCAUAUCGACAAGUAGGCUUACGACCUCGAUGUUGGAUCAGGGUAUCCUAGUGGUGCAACCGCUACUAACGGUUCGUUUGUUCAACGAUUAAAACCCUACGUGAUCUG